GAGAUCACAGGCAUGAGCCACCGUGCCUGGCCAAGUGUGUUUCUAAUUUCAAAAUUAAGAGGACCCAGAGCCAGUUAAUUACAUCUCUAUUGGAACAUGAUCCUUAUAGUACAUUAGGAAAAAUCAUCCAGAACUUGGAAAAGGGGCUGGACAGACACAGCCCUUGAGGUUGUCCGAUGAACCCCUGGGGUCUUUAACCAUCUGGAGGGAUGUACCAUGUCAGACUCACUGUUGUCGACGGGCUGAAGCCCAGGUUUCAUGAGGUUAUGUGUCGGCUUGUAGUACUUUCUCUGGCAGAGAUGCGAGUGACUUCUGCUCACUGAGAGGCUCAUCUCAGGGACUUCAUGGCCUGAGGGACGGCAGCCUGUUUGAGCUGAUCGAGCAAUCUCGCGCUACCCUUAUUUUCUGAAACGCCUAUGAGUGACUUCUCACACGGUCUUUGAAGCGGCUUCAUGCCCGCGCUCCUUGGAAUUUCUGAAGCUGCUGAGUGUAGAAAGCACUGAGGAGGCUGUGCUCCCACCCCUGUGAGCCUUCCAGGCAUCAUCCUCUCCCCUUGGCGAGGCGGCGUCCAUGGCACACCGAGGAGGCUGUGCUCCUGUCCCCCAUUUCUUUGCAUCGUCUCCCUUAUCCAGAAGUGAGGGUGAACGCUGAGUUAUUCACGGGAGUCAAGAAACCACACGCAGCCCAAAGUGACGUUUGUUUCCCUGAAAGGAUUUGUGUGUGUUCACCUUAAAAUGCAACUCAGUAAAACAGGUGGCGCAGAUGUGGGGGCUUGACGAUAUACACACUGCAGGCUGCCAGUGUCGGGGUAAUAUAGUUUUAGUCAUAAAGGUGGGAUUUGCUUUGCUCCUCUGCAGACCAGGUGCAGUGCUGCUGUUGUAGCAGG